rnacentral:lncRNA from 1 species
AGAGAGAGAGAGAGAGAUUUUGAGUACCAUGUAUAGAGAGACCACCUAUGUACUUGUUUAGCUUUUGUAUUUGGGAUUCCUAUUGUAUUUACUUUAUGGUUUAUUUAGUGAUUUUAGCUCUCUACUCUUCACACUGCUUUAGAUACUAGAUGUUGUACAAUGCUCUGAUAUCUCUAGAUCUCCUUUAUUUGCUUUAUUUAUCGUUUUGUUUUAGACGCCUUGUAUGUUUUAGAUAUAUGGCGGGUAGGUGGGCUUCCGCUGGGUCCCGGGGCGUGACACAUCCCUCCUGCGGCGUCGAGUUCUCCUACGCCCGAUGUUGCGGCUGAGGAAGUGGAGCGAGAGCGUGGUUACACGGCCCUCACCAGGUUUACGAAGUUCCACCCGCCCACGUUUGAUGGAGAAAUGAUUGAUCCUUGGAUAGUGGAGACUUGGUUAGCCUCGAUGGAGACCCUGUUCGAGGACAUCCACACCCAGGAGCUGGAUAAAGUGAAUUUGGCGGGGCAUUGCUUCGAUAAGCAGGCCAGGGUGUGGUGAAAGAGAGUGAAGCAGGACCGUUCUCCGGAUCUUCCCCCGAUUAAUUGGGAAGAGUUCCGAAGGUUGAUGUUUGCGGAGUACUUCCCCGACAGUGAUAAAAGGAAGAUGAGGGAGGACUUCAGAAAGCUCAAGCAGGGUAAUCGCACGGUUCGGGAGUAUGAGCGGGAGUUCACCCAUCUCCUGAACUGCGUUCCGGACGUGGCGAGGACGGAGCAAAAUCGGGCGGAUUGCUUCGUGAGGGGACUCCGGCCCGGGGUGUUCCGACUAGUUCAUUGUAACACACUGGACCUGUGCAAAUUGCGAGGUUCGAGUUAUUGGAUGUGUUCUGAGCUUUUUCACGCUUUGUGGAGGGUCGUAGAAGGUGUUCCGACCUAAAAAGUUCGAAUCCUGAAAUUUCAGCUAAGUCCUGAGAGUUUUACUCUCGGGGACCGGUCCCUGCGGGGAGAGACCGGUCCCCCUGGUGAGGCAACCGGUCCCCGGUGGAUGAGACCGGUCCCCGAGCGCAUUUCGCAGGGAGAGACCGGUCCUAUGCGGGGAGAGACUGGUUCCCGAGAGCAGGUUUUGCAGAAUGGACUUGAGAGACCGGUCCCAAGCAGGGAGAGACCGGUCCCUCUGGACGAAAUCUGCCCAGUCCGGGCUUUGCACAGGUUGCAAAGUUGAGGGACUUUUUUGGAUUUUGUUACACUAGAGGGCCUAUAUGGCCAUUUCACUUCCCUUUCUCCCUCAUGUCACCCUCCCACUUGCUUUUAGAGAGAGAAGGAGAAGAAGGAGAAGAAGGAAGGAGAAGGAGAGCUUGUUGAGGACUUGGAGCUUCACUCUCACCCUCUCUUCUUCCUUUUGGUGGGUUGGAGCUUGCUUUUGGAGCUUAGUGGUGGAUCAGUCUUCAACCCUAAAAAAUUUUGAGCUUGGUUUGGAGCUUCCUAGAGGUUAGUUGCUUGUUUCUCCCUUCUAGACAUAGUUUUGGUGAAUUUUGGGAGAUGAAACCCUAGAAUGAGAAACCUAGGGUUUAUUUGGGGCUUUUUGAUUAGAGGCUUUUUGAGCUAAUCUAAUUGGAUUAGAACCUUAGUUUAGGUUGCUUUGAAAGAGAUCUAGUUUCCAUUUGAGCUUUGGAAAGAGAUUUCUACACUAUAAGUGAGAUUUUGGUCUUUUUGCUUAGUAGGUUAUUGAUUGAGCCUUGUAUUGUUCGUAAGGUCCGUUUGACUCUUGUUCCUACAUCUUUAGAGUGCUAGGAGACUAGUGGGCAUCUUCGUCGGAGCUUACGAAGAGUUGCAAGAGUUGUGGUGGGUUUGACUUCAUGAAGUCGGGGCGAAAUGGCCCCUAUGUAUUCUAUACUUGUUGUAACGUCAAUUUGAUUGUAUAUUCAUGUUAAAUAGGAUUUAUGUGAAUUUUAGAACACUUAAAAUGCAUGCCUUAUGUAUGAUGAAAUUUUCACUCUAUAUAGUAGGGUAUUCUGGGUUUUUAGCAUGCAUGUGAGAAGUGGUUCUUUUUCGAGUUGGGUACUUGUCUCGUACGAUGAAAAUGAUUAGAAUUAUGCAUUCAUGAACAUAAUUAUUAUGCUUGGACAUAGAGACCAAAAGUGUCAUAAAGGGGCACUUGAAUUAGCAAACUAUGCAACUGUUAUCUGGGACUUAGUGAUAGGCCAUUGACAUCUUUUAUAUUCCAUGUUAGAGACAUGAUGACAUAGAGAUAGGCCUAUAAGAGAUGUGACGUAUUCCAUGUUGUUAGACAUGACGACUUGGUACUUGAGACAGAUCAUUGCUUGCUUGCCAUUGUGCUCAUUCGCACAUGCUUGUGAGGGUCGCUCCCUACAAACCGGCACUCCGGAGAUGGCCAUCCCGAUACAUGUUCGCCGUGCAGGAUUGGGUGCCGAAGUGGAUUGCCGUGGGCUAGGCUCAUCCCUAGGGUGGGGAUGUUGACUAUCAUGGGGCCAUUAGGCUCGGCAACGGCCAGACAGCCUACGGGUGGGUCUCAGGGCCAUAGACAGCCUUCGGGUGGGUCUCUUCAGAUUUGACUUUGAGCAUUUAUUAUGCUAUGUGGACAUUGACUAGAAUAGUAAACAAUGACAUCUUUACUAUUUAGCACGGGGACAUCAUACUAGUGAUACUUUGGUACAUUCAUACUAGUGUAGCCUUUUGUUACUUGAGCAAAAUCAUGCUAAGUAGAGAUAUCUUGUGGUAGCAAGCAUUCUUGUUUAUUUACUCAUUGUACUUAUCGUUUUUGUCUAUACUUGUUUACUGACCCCUUUUUGUAGCUUUUGGGCCUAGUGGCGCAUUUCACUGAAGUCAGUAAUUGCCCACUGGGAACUAUUAUUUAAUAGUUCUCACGCCUCUGUUUUUAUGUUUCCUUUUCAGAGCCUUCAGCACCGGCGGAGGUACGGGAUCGCGGCAAGGGUGUCGCCUAGCUAGAUAGAGAGGAGCUACUUUUGAGCUUAGGUGGUUACUCUUUCUUUUGUUGUAUUAGAGAAAGUGAGAUUUUGAGUACCAUGUAUAGAGAGACCACUUUUGUACUUGUUUAGCUUUUGUAUUGGGAUUCCUAUUGUAUUUACUUUAUGGUUUAUUUAGUGAUUUUAGCUCUCUACUCUUCACACUGCUUUAGAUGCUAGAUGUUGUAUAAUGCUCUGAUAUCUUUACAUUUCCUUUAUUUGCUAUAUUUUAUCGUUUUGUUUUAGACGCCUUGUAUGUUUUAGACAUAUGGCGGGUCUGGGCACGUGCCGAGCGGGCUUCC